UUGCCUACGGGGGGCAGCAGUGGGGAAUAUUGCACAAUGGGGGAAACCCUGAUGCAGCGACGCCGCGUGAGUGAAGAAGUAUUUCGGUAUGUAAAGCUCUAUCAGCAGGGAAGAAAAUGACGGUACCUGACCAAGAAGCCCCGGCUAACUACGUGCCAGCAGCCGCGGUAAUACGUAGGGGGCAAGCGUUAUCCGGAUUUACUGGGUGUAAAGGGAGCGUAGACGGCUGAGCAAGUCAGUAGUGGAAGCGCGGGGCUCAACC
rnacentral:rRNA from 1 species